rnacentral:rRNA from 1 species
UGGGGAAUAUUGGACAAUGGGCGAAAGCCUGAUCCAGCCAUGCCGCGUGUGUGAAGAAGGUCUUCGGAUUGUAAAGCACUUUAAGUUGGGAGGAAGGGCAGUAAGCGAAUACCUUGCUGUUUUGACGUUACCGACAGAAUAAGCACCGGCUAACUCUGUGCCAGCAGCCGCGGUAAUACAGAGGGUGCAAGCGUUAAUCGGAAUUACUGGGCGUAAAGCGCGCGUAGGUGGUUCGUUAAGUUGAAUGUGAAAGCCCCGGGCUCAACCUGGGAACUGCAUCCAAAACUGGCGGGCUAGAGUAGGGCAGAGGGUGGUGGAAUUUCCUGUGUAGCGGUGAAAUGCGUAGAUAUAGGAAGGAACACAAGUGGCGAAGGCGACCACCUGGGCUCAUACUGACACUGAGGUGCGAAAGCGUGGGGAGCAAACAGG